rnacentral:misc_RNA from 1 species
UUUCCGUAGGUGAACCUGCGGAAGGAUCAUUACCGAGUUCAAACCCUCACGGGUAGAUCUCCCACCCUUGAAUAUUUAUACCUUAGUUGCUUUGGCAGGCCGUGGAAACACCAUGGGCUCCGGCAUAUGCGUGCCUACCAGAGGAAACAAACACUAUAUUUGGUGAUGUCGGAGUACUGUAUAAUAGUUAAAACUUUCAACAACGGAUCUCUUGGUUCUG